ensembl:snRNA U1 U1 spliceosomal RNA
AUGCUUACCUGGAAGGGGUAAUUCCACGAUCACAAAGGUGAUUUCCCCAGGGUAAAGUUUACCUAUUACACUCCUGAUCCCUAUGAUUUCCCCAAAUUCAGGAAACUUAACUGCAUAAUUUGUGAUGGUGAGCAACUGAUGCUCU